rnacentral:rRNA from 1 species
ACUCCUACGGGAGGCAGCAGUGGGGAAUAUUGCACAAUGGGGAAACCCUGAUGCAGCCAUGCCGCGUGUGUGAAGAAGGCCUUCGGUUGUAAAGCACUUCAGUAGGGAGGAAGGUAGUGUAGUUAACACCUGCAUUAUUUGACGUUACCUACAGAAGAAGCACCGGCUAACUCCGUGCCAGCAGCCGCGGUAAUACGGAGGGGUGCGAGCGUUAAUCGGAAUUACUGGGCGUAAAGCGCAUGCAGGCGGCCUGUUAAGUCAGAUGUGAAAGCCCGGGGGCUUAACCUCGGAAUUGCAUUUGAAACUGGCAGGCUAGAGUCUUGUAGAGGGGGUAGAAUUUCAGGUGUAGCGGUGAAAUGCGUAGAGAUCUGAAGGAAUACCAGUGGCGAAGGCGGCCCCCUGGACAAAGACUGACGCUCAGAUGCGAAAGCGUGGGGAGCGAAACAGGAUUAGAUACCCUGGUAGACUGUCAA